rnacentral:rRNA from 1 species
AUUGAACGCUGGCGGCAGGCCCACCACAUGCAAGUCGAGCGGAGCGGCGGACGGGUGAGUAAUGCCUAGGAAUUUGCCUGAUAGUGGGGGAUAACGCCCGGUAAUGGGCGCUAAUACCGCAUAAUAUAAGAAGAGUCUAGGUCGGCUUAGCUAGAUGGGGGGGUAAAGGCCUACCAAGGCGACGAUCCGUAACUGAUCGGAGAUGAUGAUCAGUCACACUGGAACUGAGAAACGGUCCAGACUCCUACGGGAGGCAGCAGUGGGGAAUAUUGGACAAUGGGCGAAAGCCUGAGCCAUCCAUGCCGCGUGUGUGAAGAAGGUCUUCGGAUGGUAAAGCACUUUAAGUUGGGAGGCGUUACCAGCAGAAUAAGCACCGGCUAACUUCGUGCCAGCAGCCGCGGUAAUAC